CCUACGGGAGGCAGCAGUGGGGAAUAUUGCACAAUGGGGGAAACCCUGAUGCAGCAACGCCGCGUGAAGGAAGAAGUCUUUCGGUAUGUAAACUUCUUUCCUCAGGGAAGAAAAUGAUGGUACUUCACCAGGAAUCCGCCACUAAAUACGUGCCAGCAGCCGCGGUAAUACUACGUGGGUAAGCGUCAUUCGGAUUAAUUGGUUGUAAUGGGGGCGUAGGCGGCGGAGCAAGUCAGAAGUGAAAGCCCGGGGCUCAACUCCGAGACUGCUUUUGAAACUGUGUUGUUAGAUUGCAGGAGAGGUAAGUGGAAUGCCGAGUGUAGCGGUGAAAUGCGUAGAUAUUAGGAGGAACACCAGUGGCGAAGGCGGAUUGCUGGACUGUAAAUGACGCUGAGGCUCGAAAGCGUGGGGAGCAAACAGGAUUAGAUACCCCUGUAGUC
rnacentral:rRNA from 1 species